rnacentral:rRNA from 1 species
CAAAGGCUUGGUCCUGACUUUAUUAUCAGCUUUAGCCAAACUUACACAUGCAAGUAUCCGCCCCCCUGUGAGAAUGCCCUCAGUUCCCUGCCCGGGAACAAGGAGCCGGUAUCAGGCACAAUUUUAGCCCAUGACACCUUGUUUAGCCACACCCCCAAGGGAACUCAGCAGUGAUAGAUUUUAAGCCAUAAGUGAAAGCUUGACUUAGUAAAAGCUAAGAGGGCCGGUAAAACUCGUGCCAGCCACCGCGGUUAUACGAGAGGCCCAAGUUGAUUAUCUGCGGCGUAAAGAGUGGUUAAGGUAAGUAGGUACUAAAGCCGAAUGUUUUAAAAGCUGUUAUACGCAUCCAAAAACAAGAAGUCCAGACACGAAAGUUGCUUUAACAAGCCCUGAACCACGAAAGCUAGGGAACAU